GUUGAUAUUUUUCCAUUUUUCUCACCACCAUUCUGUUUGAAAAUAUUGUGAAAUUGCUAAGAGUAGUUCUUCUCCAGUCAUUAACGGGAGUGAAAGGUUUUCAUGAGUUCCUGACUGUGCUACUAAAUACCAAACCGACCGCUACCUACGAGGUGGAUCGUACACUGCAGUUCGAGGAGAAAUGUUAAUAUUUAAAUUUAGCCAAGCCUAAGAGCAGGGUUUCAGUUCGUUCAUUUUUACUGCAAAUUUCUCACAGUUUAUUAAAUAGUUUUCUUACAACAAUUUGGGGAGUAGCCGAUGAGUAUUUAGGGGAGAAAGACGGAGGAUAUAUGGAGAGUCAAGGGCAUCGACAUUGUCCUUGAAUCCCUUUCAGUAUUAUUAUCAAGAUCGAUUUUCCAAAUAAAAUAGUUCUUCAGCUUAUACACUUUUUUAAAAAACAACUUUCAGUUCACAAAGUUAUGAAAGACUCAAUUUCAUAACCAAGAUUUCUGGGGUUCUUGUAAAUCGGUUUCCAUUGAUGCUUGCACUAUGUUCUGGUUCUAACAAAAAGUGUUCUCUCAUGGAAACCAGGCUUCAAGCAGGCUGAGGGUCAAGUGGAAGUGACUACUUCGGGCACAGAUAAAUAAAGAUUAAUUUUGAAAUUAAGGUCAUGAUUAUCACAAAGUCGUUCUAAAUCGAACUUAUUGUUCUGAAUAGUACUGUUAGUCCUAAUUGUAAUGAAAAAGUCUUGCUUUCUGACCUGUACUCUCUUUUACCAAUGCCUCAUCAUGCACCCAAUGCCAAAGGUAAGGUAUACCAAAGUGGCCCAAUAUUAAGCCGGAGCUUACCCUGCCAAAGCGGUGUAUUAAAUAACAAGGUAAUCAUUUUAGUUUGGUUAUAUCAACUGAGUUAAUAACUUAAAUUGGCACUCGUAGAGAGUUUCUACGCUGACGUAUCGAAAGUUAGCUCCUCGUCAAAACGAAUUCGUUCAUUCGCUCUGACGAAGAGCUAACGCUCGAAACGUCAGCUUUGAAACUCUUGACGGCGGCCAAUUCAAAUCAUCAAUUUAGUUGAUAAAACCAAACUACCUUGUUACACUCUCCCACCGACGCAGCACCACAGUUUCUAUAGAAACUUACCCCUUAAUUUAUUUGUAUUAAAUAACAGCUUGCUUAACUCGUUAAGCCUUUUAAGUUGUUUCGCAAAUGGCCCCGCUCAACUUUUUCAGUUUAUUCCUCAGGGCUCUUAAUCCGUGGUUUCUUUCAAUGACGGGCUUAAUAUAUAUUGUAUUGUGCUACAGUGAAACGGCAUAACUCGAAAGAGAAACUUUACAAAGCUCGUUAUCGUCACUGAAGCGUUGUAAAGAGAUCUGUGCACUUUAUCGUAGGAAUUGCAAAUCGAAGUAAACGGCGACGCCUACGCUCGUGGUGGACUUGUAUAAACAAAAAAAAUGUUUCGUAACUUCGAUUAAAAACUUGAAAUCGAAUAACGAUAACUCGCGUGAUUUUUUCCUUCGCUUGCUGGUUCUUUUCGCUUCUGUUGUCCAUUCAAUCUUGGUAAAGACAAAUAAGAGUCACUCAACAAGAGAGACUUCAAGAUUCCUCUUCUAGAAGAACACUUAAAACAGGUGGUUUGCUAAAUUAACCAUAAAAAGGCGGUAAUUAUUGCCAGUCACCAUAAUUAGCCUAUGCUUCAUGAUGUGGUUUCUUUGUUCCUGUAAAUAUUGCGAUGACAAAAACCCAAAGAAAAGAUGAGUGAUCCAUCGUGAUCUUUUUUUUUAGCAUUCUUCAAAGUCAGAUUUCUAGUUAAUUCAGGUUCACGAACUGAUCACGUGUUUUCAACAAGUGGCUUUCCGAACGCCUCCAUACUCUUUAUAAUUGAAUCAAAAUAUAUCUGUGAACUAUCACGCACAGUACAUCGGGUAGAUACUGAGUCAAUCUGGAAGAUGAAAACAACACCGCCUGAGCAAAGAGAAAAGUCCCUCCUCAAGCAAGACCUAGCAAAGACAGUAUGGCAUUCUAUGAGAUACUGUGUUGCCCAGAAGGUUACUUUUAACGAAUGCUUAAAAAGAGUCUUGCAUAAUUUGUCAAUGAUUUCUGACCAAAGUAUCGCGGAUUUCUGAUAAACAGAAUAGGACGUGUCUAACAAAGUUGCUUGAAGUAGCACGAGGUCUGGUGAGAAUGGCCUGAAAACGAGGCCAGAACAGCCUCGAUGGCACGCAAAUCAAUUAGUAGUAUUGUGAGACUCUUUCACUAACGCUUUCUCCCCAAAUAUAAUGCGUUAUACUUAACUACCUUUUCCUGUGCUUUGCACAAAACUAACUUGAACCUAAAAAAAACUAACCUGUUGCUAUUUUGCCCAAGUAACGAUAUCUUUUCGAACAAUUAUAAUAACUUCCAAUCUUAGGGAAGUACAAAAUAUCAUUUGAGCAAGAUCUAAGAACACUAAGAAAGGUGGCAGUAAACCAAGAACGCAAGAAGGGGCAAAGUUCACUGAAUGAACAUGAGAGACAAGGACUACAAAUGACGAAAUGGUAAAAUUAGGGCAAAUUGUUCAAUCGUAUAAACCGUAACGCUAACAUGACAAUGUGGAUGGAAGCCAUAAUAUCGAACAAAGCCAGAACCAAGAUCAGUGUCUUCCCAAGACAAUGGUAGAUAUUGCGUUCGCGCGCAAACAAGGGGCUGAAGAGGACGCCACCACCUUAAAAUCAAAUAUCACAUGACGAGAUUUGUGCGUAUAGACAGGAAUGUUUUUUCAACCACAUUAACCAAACUUUUCAUCUUCCUGUUACCUAUAUAAUUAAAGAAAGCAAUAACAAUAAUCUCUUCCUUCCUACAUACCUCAUGUGACAAUGAAUGAAGAGACCGCGGCGACACUCAGUCUGUGCGAAUUAUAACAGCGCAUCAGUGCGAUGGAUUUGUUGGAUCAAUAAUCUCAAAGUUGUAAAUAAUUUAUCUUAAAGAGCUGUGCUCUAAUGGGAAAAAGUCUCUCUUUUUUUCUUUGAAGGGAAGUCAACCAAUGGCAUGCGAUGAAAAGAUGUGGAGUUUACUUUGUUCAAAUUGUUUUGUAUUUAAUGAUUUAAGAGUUAAGGAAAGUUUAUGCAACUACGAUACGGCCCGUCGAUGGAUGUUUUUGGGCGAAGGGAUAGAUUAAAUCUUUAAACCUAUGAAAAUAGUGUCUGGGCUGAACUUUACUUCCUAUCAUAAUCUUCUUAAAAAUCGCUAUUUCACUGACGGUUUCAUCGGCCUUAUUAAACUGACAUACUUAAAAGCUUCCUUUGCAUUUCAGUUUAGUGAUUUCAUUAUGAUAGAUCUUGGAGGAACGAAAGUUUCAUAAAGUAAAACUACAUAUCUUCUUUACAUUCCUGGUAACAAUACACCUCGUACAAAAUAUUUGUAAACAUUUUCGUUCCUGCAAACUUUUUCACAACAAUUUGAGUCCUGUGAUCACUAUGCAAUCCAGAUAAAAAUAACGCUCAUUUCCUUUUCGAUAAAAAACCGGCCUUUAUUUGCCACUUUCCAAUAUACCAGGUAUUGUUAUUAUAUCAUCAUUUUCUGUCAGUUGAAUUCACCGAAAAGGCCAUUAGCGGCAUCCAGGCCACUUGCCAGCCCGAGGGCCUAACAUGACUAAUGGAAGAAAACAUUUAAAUUAACAGUCAUUUAUUUAACCUCGAGAGUCCCUUGAAAAACACUUCCUUCCUGAUUUUACCUGACCAAAGCGGAAAGAUUAUCAACCAGUUAUUUUCUUUGCUAUCCAUGUGGGGAUCAAAGAUCCCUCAAGACAAUUAACAACUGUUUCCUAAUGCAGUGUUUUGUGUGGAUAAAAUGCGACUCUUUUCAUUCGGUCACGACUUCCUGUUAGAAUGAAAGAUACCACACGUUUCCCCCAGUAAAAUAACAUCAAAUGUAUCAAAUUUGGUAAACAGGGAUUACAUUGCUGACUACGCCAGUCUGGGACUGCGGGGGAGUGCUAGGCAUGGCAUGGCAUGGCCGAGCUUAAAGGCUCCAUGCUUUUAACCUUGGUUCUUCAUUAACAUGUCACAUUACUCGCGGCACUUAAAUCAACAUUGUCUCUGUUAACGCAAGAAGAACAGAAUAAAGCUUCAACCUGGGUAAUCUGUAGUAUGAAGUUUUUGAAAGCUCGUGAGUUGUGUGCCAAAAUCGGGGGGCGGCGAGGGAGGAUGGACCUGAAACGCACAGCAUGCCAUUUCACGAGGACAGAAGCAGAAACGAUACGAGCGGAUCGAAAGCAAAAACGAUUAAUCAUCCUAUGCUUAAAGAGAGAAAGAGAGAGAGAGACAGAGAGGGAAAGAAAAAAGUAAGAGCAAAGAAGAAUUUCGUGAUUUUGAUAGAUAUCACGAGGUGGUCUUAAAAUGGGAACAAAUUCAGAGAGUAUUGGUUUGACAUUGUUGAGGAUUUCAGAAUACAAGAAGUAGUUUCUAUCGUCGACAGAGGUUAGACAGCGUCACUUUUUGAUGCAAUUAUCACGAGCUAACUCGAAUCAGUUCACGUUUGUUUGUUAAGUAAUGUUUUAUCAGUUUUCCAGUUCAUAUCUUAAAUUCGUGAGGUGUUUUGGACGAAAAAUGCAUAAAUGCAGCAAUAGAGCACAGGAAACUCCAAAUAGGAAGGAAAGGGAGGAUAUAUCGUGGGGUCCAAGUGACGGGAUAACCUCCCAGGUCUGCACGAGAAAAAACCGCUGGAAGAAGUAUGAACAGCUGAAGAUUUUAGAACAAAAACAUGCACAACAAAAUAUAAAUAGCCAUGGAGGUUAACCAGUAUGUUCUAUGUAUCUUUAACGAUAAACAAAUGAAUUGUACCCUUAAAAACAAAAUUGGCGUGUGCUGUAGGGUAAGAUGUACAGAUAUAGAAUAUAUGAGUAGUAUCCUGAUCAUCCUCGUCUUGGUUAUUAAAUUAUGUAAAUCUUGUUAUACCUUCGAGGUGCUUCAUUAAAAAUUAUAGAUUGCUUA